AGCACCUGUGUGGGUAUUUGUUUCACACGUGGACAAAGACUGAGACAGGUGUAAAAAUGAAACAUUUUUUUUUACAUCACAGGAUUCAUGGAUCUGUAUCAGUUCUGAUACAGAUAAGGAACAUGCUA